UACGGAGGGGGCUAGCGUUGGUCGGAAUUACUGGGCGUAAAGCGCACGUAGGCGGCUUUGUAAGUUAGAGGUGAAAGCCCAGGGCUUAACCCUGGAAUUGCCUUUAAGACUGCAUCGCUAGAAUCGUGGAGAGGUGAGUGGAAUUCCGAGUGUAGAGGUGAAAUUCGUAGAUAUUCGGAAGAACACCAGUGGCGAAGGCGACUCACUGGACACGUAUUGACGCUGAGGUGCGAAAGCGUGGGGAGCAAACAGG
rnacentral:rRNA from 1 species